GCGCUGCACUUGAGCCCUCGCUGCGCAUAGUGUGUGACACCUGGGGUCAAGCUGCAGCCAGAGAAGGUGUUGGCGAGCAACAGGA
ensembl:snoRNA